ensembl:lncRNA
AUGGGGGGACACAGGGACACACUGGGGGGGGGGGGGGACACACGGACACGCGCACGGACACGCGCACGGACACGCGCACGGACGGACACGCCACACGCACCUGCCGCCGCUUGCACGCGCGUGUGCAAGAGGUCACGAGCGCGUGCCCGGGGUGCGGGCACGGCUGCGGGGGGGUCACGGCCGUGCACGCGCGUGUGCAAGGGGCCGCUCGUGUCCCCUCCCCUCCCCCCCUCGCCCCCCCGCGGGGACCCCGCGUCCGAGGGGGGGGAGGGGAGGGCGCGGCCCCCCGGGCCUCGGGGGGACCCGGCGAUGGAGGGGGGGGGCCGUGAGCCCCCCCAUCCCCCGCCGCAGCCCCGCUACCCCCUCCCCAUCCCGGCGCAUCCCCGGUCCUGCCCCCGCCCUCAUCCCCAUCCCGGUGCAUCCCCCCCCCGCCUCGGCCUCCCCGCGCCGGUGCCGGUACCUGAGGGGGCUCCGGGCCCCUCGCCCGGGGAUGCGGGUGAUGCCGGGGGGGUUCCGGGGGGGUUCCGGUGCCGGGGGUCCCGGCGGUGCCGGUGCUGGUGGGGCUGGGCCCGGCGGGCGGGGCCGGUACCGGGGCCGGGGCCGCGGUCGGGGCGAGCGGCGAGAACGGCCCCGCCCGGCGGGAACGGCCCCGCCCCGGCCCCGCCCCGCGCACCGGAGAGACCGACACGGGCACCGGGAGCCCCCCCGGCAGCGCUCCGGGACCCCGAUACUGCACCGGGAUCCCCCCCGAUACCGCACCGGGACCCCGAAACUGCACCGAGAACCCCCGCACCGGAGAGACCGGGACCGGGACCCAGAUACUGCAUCGGAACCCCUCCCCCGGCACCGGGAGAGACCGGCACCGGGGACCCCCCCUUACAGCGCACCGGGACCCCGAAAAUGCACCGGGACCCCCCCCGGUACCGCAGCGGGACCCAGACACUGCACCGGGACCCCGGUACCGUGCGGGGACCCUCCCCGGCACCGGGAGCCCCCCUGAAAUUGCACCGGAACCCCGAAACAGCACCGGGACCCAAAUACUACAUCGGGACCCUCCUCGGCACCGGGAGAGACCGGCACCGGCAGCCGGAACCCCCCCGACAGUGCUCCGGGACCCCGAAACUGCACCGGGACCCCGAUACUGCAUCAGGACCCCCCCCCCCCCCCCUUCACGGCACCGGCAGGGACCGGCACCGGCACCGGGACCCCGAUACGGCACCGGGACCCCUCUGGCACCGGGAGAGGCCGGCACAGGCACGGGGACCCCCCCGGUUCCGUACCGGGAUCCCGAUCCUGCACUGGGACCACCCCCGGUACUGGAGAGACCGGCACAGGCACCGGGGCCCCUCCGGCACCAGCACCGGGACCCCUUCCCGGAUCGGCACCGGACCGGGACCCUCCGGCAUCAGCACCGGCACCUCCAGGACCGGCCCCACCGGUGCCCCCAUGACCCCGCCGGCACCGCCCGGCCGAGCAGCACACGGGGCACCGGUGCGAUCCCACUGCUCCCAGUAUGGGUGUCCCGCUGUCUGCAGUGCUCCCAGUGCAAUCCCAGUGCAAUCCCAGUGCGGGUGUCCCAUACGUCCCAGCGCUCCCAGUCUCAUCCCAGCGCUCCCAGUACAGGUGUCCCUCUGUCCCCAGUGCUCCCGGUGCGAUCUCAGCGCUCCCACUCUGACCAGUGCCACCUCUGCCCCAUUGUCCCCAUUGUCCCCAUUGUCCCCAUUGUCCCCUAACCCCCCAUCGGGGGGAAACUGA